AUUCCUACGGGACGCACCAGAGGCAACUGUUACGAAUCGUCGGCAAUCGGGGCAGACCAAUCCGAGGGACGGUAGGAGGAGUAUGAAGGUUUAAGCAUCUUAUACUCGGGAAGGAGGAAAGAACGAUGCCGGUGGAUUAAUCAUAGCCCCGGUUAAUUCCGGCACAGCAGGUAAUGUAAUACAGACGGUGCAAGUGUUAUCCGGAAGCACUUAAAGUAUAGGCAGGGUAGGCGUUAAGUUAAGUCUGAAAUUAAAGCGUGAGGCUCAACCUCAUCAAUUGGAAUGGAUACACUUAGAGUCCGGUAGGGGCAGAGGGAAUUCCCAGCCAGCGGUGAAAGGCGUAGAAAUUGGGAAAACCACCGGUGGGGAAAGCGCUCAGCCUUCUGGACAACAACAGUCAGGGAGGAAAGCUAGGGGAGGGAACGGGAUUAGAUACCUCACUAGUCCUACCACUAAACGAUGGAUGCUUGCUGGGCUCGUAUCCACCCGGUCGGUGCCGUAGCUAACGCGUUAAGUUCCCGCCUGGGAGACGGCGACUUGGC
rnacentral:rRNA from 1 species